UACAGAGGUGGCAAGCGUUGUUCGGAAUUACUGGGCGUAAAGGGCGCGUAGGCGGCCUUCUAAGUCAGACGUGAAAUCCCCCGGCUUAACCUGGGAACUGCGUCUGAUACUGGGAGGCUUGAGUAUGGGAGAGGGAUGUAGAAUUCCAGGUGUAGCGGUGAAAUGCGCAGAUAUCAGGAAGAACACCAAUGGCGAAGGCAGCUCUCUGGGACGGUACUGACGCUGAGACGCGAAAGCGUGGGGAGCGAACAGG
rnacentral:rRNA from 1 species